GACGAACGCUGGCGGCGUGCCUAAUACAUGCAAGUCGAACGAAGCUUUUUUAACUGGUGCUUGCACCGACUUAAACAACUGAGUGGCGAACGGGUGAGUAACACGUGGGUAACCUGCCCCAAAGCGGGGGAUAACAUUUGGAAACAGAUGCUAAUACCGCAUAACCACAGAAACCACAUGGUUUCUGUGUCAAAGAUGGUUUCGGCUAUCACUUUGGGAUGGACCCGCGGCGUAUUAGCUAGUUGGUAAGGUAAUGGCUUACCAAGGCAAUGAUACGUAGCCGAACUGAGAGGUUGAUCGGCCGCAUUGGGACUGAGACACGGCCCAAACUCCUACGGGAGGCAGCAGUAGGGAAUCUUCUACAAUGGACGAAAGUCUGAUGGAGCAACGCCGCGUGAGUGAAGAAGGUUUUCGGAUCGUAAAACUCUGUUGUCAGAGAAGAACGUGUGCGAGAGUAACUGUUCGUGCAGUGACGGUAUCUGGCCAGAAAGCCACGGCUAACUACGUGCCAGCAGCCGCCGUAA
rnacentral:rRNA from 1 species